AUACGUAGGUGACAAGCGUUAUCCGGAUUUACUGGGCGUAAAGGGCAUGUAGGCGGUCUUGCAAGUCAGAAGUGAAAUUCCUGAGCUCAACUCGGGCGCUGCUUCUGAAACUGCAGGACUUGAGUGCUGGAGGGGAUAGCGGAAUUUCUCGUGGCGUGGUAAAAUGCGCAGAUAUUAGGAAGAACACCGGUGGAGAAGGCGGAUAUAUUGACAGUAACUGACGCUGAGUCACGAAAGCGUGGUGAGCAAACAGGAUUAGAUACCCUGAUAGUCCACGCUGGAAACUAUAAAUACUAGGUGUAGGGGUAUCAACUCCCUCUGUGCCGCAGUUAACACAAUAAGUAUUCCGCCUGGGGAGUACGGCCGCAAGGUUGAAACUUAAAGGAAUUGACGGGG
rnacentral:rRNA from 1 species